rnacentral:rRNA from 1 species
AACGAACGCUGGCGGCAGGCCUAACACAUGCAAGUCGAACGCCCUAGUAAUAGGGAGUGGCAGACGGGUGAGUAACACGUGGGAACCUUCCCUAUAGUAUGGAAUAGCCCAGGGAAACUUGGAGUAAUACCGUAUACGCCCGAGAGGGGAAAGGAUUUAUCGCUAUAGGAUGGGCCCGCGUAGGAUUAGCUAGUUGGUGAGGUAAUGGCUCACCAAGGCGACGAUCCUUAGCUGGUCUGAGAGGACGACCAGCCACACUGGGACUGAGACACGGCCCAGACUCCUACGGGAGGCAGCAGUGGGGGAAUAUUGGACAAUGGGCGCAAGCCUGAUCCAGCCAUGCCGACGUGAGUGAUGAAGGCCUUAGGGUUGUAAAGCUCUUUUGCCGGGGACGAUAAUGACGGUACCCGGAGAAUAAGUCCCGGCUAACUUCGUGCCAGCAGCCGCGGUAAUGUACAGUGU